GACGAACGCUGGCGGCGUGCUUAACACAUGCAAGUCGAACGGAAAGGCCCCUUUGGGGGUACUCGAGUGGCGCACGGGUGAGUAACACGUGAGUAACCUGCCCUUGACUUCGGGAUAACUUCAGGAAACUGGGGCUAAUACCGGCUAGGAAUCCUUGCCGCAUGGUGGGGGUUGGAAAGCUUCGGCGGUUUUGGAUGGACUCGCGGCUUAUCAGCUUGUUGGUGGGGUAGUGGCUUACCAAGGCUUUGACGGGUAGCCGGCCUGAGAGGGCGACCGGCCACAAUUGGACUGGGAUACGGCCCAGACUCCUACGGGAGGCAGCAGGGGGGAAUAUUGCACAAUGGGCGGAAGCCUGAUGCAGCAACGCCGCGGGCGGGAUGACGGCCUUCGGGUUGUAAACCGCUUUCAGCAGGGGCGAAGCUUGUGGUGACGGUACCUGCAGAAGAAGCACCGGCUAACUACGUG
rnacentral:rRNA from 1 species